rnacentral:lncRNA from 1 species
UCACAAGUACUAAUCAACAUUGCUCAUGCCAUAAUAUAUUCAUUCCUGCAAGUCUACAUACAAUUCGGCAAAAGGAAGGCAUACAUCCAAGUGGACGAGGCAUGUUAGGAAACGGAAAAGAUUAACCUGCCAUGGCAAUCAUUUAAAACAGAACCUCGCCGCAAUACUUGCAUGUCUGGAAGGUUGACUACGCUGAUACCGACAAGUAAAAACAAUAUUAGAAAUCAUUCAAAACACAACAAAAAUGGCAUCGCUUCAUAUAGCUCAAGUAAGCUACCAAGACACUGUUUUGGUCCUUCAGAGAGGAAAUGCAGAAGCUUUGCGACUUGAUGCAUUGAUAGAAGCACGCACAACCCUCUGAGUAAGCGCCCCCAUGAACAUGACUACAAAAAGAAAUGCACCCAUUGUGCUGUCAAAAAUAAAGAAAAUUCAUGAGGCCGGAACGAAAAGACGCAAAUCAGAACUCAAACUCGAGGCACUCACAUCCUUGUUUGUGAACUGGAUAGGUCAAGGUCGGUCACGGCUUUACUGGUCAAGGCCCACUGCCUAACCAAACCCUAGCUCGCAGGAGUAAAUGUGUGCUAGAGCGUCCGGAAGGGUGAGACGGAGAUUGCUGGCCUUUGCUGCUAUACCCUGUAAAAACAAGGGGUGACUACAAGCAUGGUGGCAAGUGGCAACAUAAGGAGAUUGUGAGGGCUGGCAGAGCCAAGUCCUAGAUCAUUGAGUUCUCGUUGGUUUAAGUUACAUGCAGCACAUGCGGGUGGAGAUUGUUAGGGAGGAGGGUGGAGCAAGGAAGGUUUGAGAUUUCAGGCUCAAUAAAUCUUGAUAUCGCUUGUACAUUUUUAAUGGAGUGGUCCAUCACAUGGUUCCCAACAUUCCAUGUUUCCACUGAAUGUGGUUUCGAUGUGAUAAUCUUAAGAGGAAAAAAACAACAUCAUAGAACCUAUUUUUAAGUACUCAGAGGACCAUAAUAUCACAGUGCAACAUUUGGCUACCGUACAACAUUUACAUCUACUUAGAGCAAUAAAAUAUGACCUUGAGACAAAGAAACCAUUCAUCUGAACAUAAUAAGCAAAUAAUUGUACCUGCCACUUUUCUCUGUCUUCUAUAAAGAGCUCCAUGUAGAGUAACCCCAACACCUGAUGCUAUAUGCACUCUACCUAUUGUAGAUAGAGAAGAAUACACAUAGCAAUCCCAGCACCUCGCUAAUCAAAUUUCAUCUGAACCAGAUAACAAGAAUCCUGCCAGCACAAAUGAUUUAGGAUACUCCUUUUGAAAUUGCAAUAGCAUGCUAAUAGGAAAAUUAUUUAAAAUACCAAUACCUUCAAACAAGAUAAUAAAGAUGAAAAAUAUAUUGAUUUCAAAACUUCAUGGUCAUCUGAGUCCUAUUAAGAGUCAUGUGUCUGCUACACAAAUUACCGGAAAGACCCAGACACCCAGCAAGAUUACACUCACAAAAGACAGGUGCAGUAAAAGCACGUGUUUGAGUUACAUUCGAAUCCCACC